AACAUCGCGCACCUGCGGGAACCUGCGGAGGGAUCAUUAACACAAAUGAUAAAACCAGCAAUUUUGGUUGUGUGAUACAACAUGUUUCACAACCAAAAUUGCAUUCACCACAAUGGAAAAUGUUAAAGUCCAUUAACAUUAAUGAUAAUGUUUAAUGGUCUUUAUUCAUUUUUACUCUACCAUAAACCACAUUUAACCAUGUACACAUCUCUUUAUGAUUAUAUCGUUAAAUACAAUAUA
rnacentral:misc_RNA from 1 species